GCGGGGGGGCCCGGGGGGCCCGCGGGGGGCCGCGUGCGCGCCGCGCUGCGCUCCGGCCCGCCGGUACAUCACCACCCGCCAGACUUCCUAGAAAACCUCCGCGAGACGCAACGCCAGCGGCUGCAGAAGGAGCCCUCCCCGCCGCCCGCGGGCCCCGCCGCGCCCCGCGCGCCGCCCCCGCUGCCCCCCAAGCCGUCCCAGCGGGCCCCCACCGUCGUGUGAACACGGGGGACGCUGGCACUCUGGGACUACUCAAAUCACCGGGGUUAAUGACCGCCCCGAAUGUCUGUGCCCUUCAUCUGCUCGCCGAUUGGCCGAAGCCGAUCAGGUGACAGAUGAUUGUGUUCAACUCAGCAUCCGUCUCCGGACUCUGUGGUGCGCCGAUUGAAGUCUCGCGCCAAGUUUUGUCUGUGGCGCGCCGGACGCUAACGAUUACGUCACGCUUGCGAUGUAAAAUAUUGAUGGUUUUGAUUCAUGACUGAUUAAAUGUUACAUGCGUUAAAAAUAUGAUUUUGCCAUGAAUUGAUUAUUGUAAAUCAUAUCGAUAUAGUCGUAGAUAAAUUCGCAAACGAUCUUGAUUAAUUAUUACUGUAAUCUGCUCAAAUAGCCAUUUAUUAGUGUUGUAAAUGCAUCUAUUGGAUAUAGUUGUUGAGUAGUAUUGAUUGUUUUAUUUGUACAAACGUAUGCCAUGUUAUGAAAUCAUUCCAACUAUGAAAUGUACAAUGAUUAUGUGUAUUGAAGUUUUUGCACUGUAUAAAUAUUGUAAAUAUGUUGUGACUAAAUAAUGAUGCCUUCCAUAGUGGAUAAGACUGCACUAACUUUAUGAGUGCCUUGCAGUGUUCAGUACAUACCUAAAGGGUCAAGGAAUUGAUGAGAAAUUGAUUUAUGUAAUUUAAGAUGUAACUUUUUUAAAUAUAUUCAUAUUUAUGAAACAUAUCAUUUUGUUAUUAGUAAAAUUGCAACUGUAAAUGAUAAAAAAUUUAAUAAAAUUUAAAUCACCUAGCCCUAAUCAAGGGGAAAACUAACGCUAGAUAUGAAACUAACAAAUUGUACUAUAAGUGUGGGUACUGAUAGUCUAGUAAUUUAUUGUUAUAAACAAAGCAUACAAGAACAAGAGUAAUUGCUCUGAGAGUAUUAAAUAUUGCAAAUAAAAUUGAUUGAAAAUUA